rnacentral:tRNA from 1 species
AGUGGUUUAAAUAUUUGGCUGCUAACUAAAAGGUUGGCAGUUCAAAUCUACCAGCCACUC